rnacentral:rRNA from 1 species
UACGUAGGCAGCAAGCGUUGUUCGGAAUUACUGGGCGUAAAGAGUGUGUAGGCGGUGCUCUAAGUUUGGUGUGAAAUCUCCCGGCUCAACCGGGAGGGUGCGCCGAAUACUGAGAGGCUAGAGUGUGGGAGAGGAAAGUGGAAUUCCUGGUGUAGCGGUGAAAUGCGUAGAUAUCAGGAGGAACACCGGUGGUGUAAACGGCUUUCUGGACCAUAACUGACGCUGAGGCACGAAAGCGUGGGUAGCAAACAGG